AGCGAACGCUGGCGGCAGGCCUAACACAUGCAAGUCGAACGAACUCUUCGGAGUUAGUGGCGGACGGGUGAGUAACACGUGGGAACGUGCCUUUAGGUUCGGAAUAACUCAGGGAAACUUGUGCUAAUACCGAAUGUGCCCUUCGGGGGAAAGAUUUAUCGCCUUUAGAGCGGCCCGCGUCUGAUUAGCUAGUUGGUGAGGUAAAGGCUCACCAAGGCGACGAUCAGUAGCUGGUCUGAGAGGAUGAUCAGCCACAUUGGGACUGAGACACGGCCCAAACUCCUACGGGAAGCAGCAGUGGGGAAUCUUGCGCAAUGGGCGAAAGCCUGACGCAGCCAUGCCGCGUGAAUGAUGAAGGUCUUUGGAUUGUAAAAUUCUUUCACCGGGGACGAUAAUGACGGUACCCGGAGAAGAAGCCCCGGCUAACUUCGUG
rnacentral:rRNA from 1 species